CUGGGUGCGGACUGUUUGGUAAGUAAUUGGAUACAAACAUGUAAGGCUGUGCUUGCAGGGCAAGAAGAGAUAUAUGUAAGUUCAUAGCAAGAAGGAUGCAAGCAGAGCGCAAACAGACUACAAAUUGUAAUGAGACUUUGCAGGAGGCCUCUGCCAAGGUAAAAGGAAUAAACCGCAGGGGAUGUCAAAAUGACACAGACUGAAGGGAGCUACAAGUUUGUCCCUCCCCUUGCAGGGUGACACAGUGACACAGACAGAAGGGAGCUAUGAGUCUGUCACUCCCCUUGCAGGGUCACACAGUGACACAGACAGAAGGGAGCUAUGAGUCUGUCCCUCCCCCUGCCAGGUGACACAGUGACACAGACAGAAGGGAGCUAUGAGUCUGUCCCUCCCCCUGCAGGGUGACACUGACAGAAGGGAGCUACGACUCUGUCCCUCCCCCUGCAGGGUGACACAGUGACACAGACAGAAGGGAUCUAUGAGUCUGUCCCUCCCCCUACAGGUGACACAGUGACACAGACAGAGGGGAGCUAUGAGUCUGUCCCUCCCCUUGCAGGGUCACACAGUGACACAGACAGAAGGGAGCUAUGAGUCUGUCCCUCCCCCUGCCAGGUGACACAGUGACACAGACAGAAGGGAGCUAUGAGUCUGUCCCUCCCCCUGCAGGGUGACACAGUGACACUGACAGAAGGGAGCUACGACUGUGUCCCUCCCCCUGCAGGGUGACACAGUGACACAGACAGAAGGGAUCUAUGAGUCUGUCCCUCCCCCUACAGGGUGACACAGUGACACAGACAGAAGGGAGCUAUGAGUCUGUCCCUCCCCCUGCAGGUUGACACAGUGACACAGACAGAAGGGAGCUUUGAGUCUGUCCCUCCCCCUGCAGAUGACACAGUCACAAAAACAGAAGGGAGCUAUGAGUCUGCCCCUCCCUCUGCCAGGUGACACAGUGACACAGACAGAAGGGAGUUAUGAGUGUCCCUCUCCUUGCAGGGUAACACAGACAGAAGGGAGCUAUGCAUCUGUCCCUCCCUCUGCAGUGUGUCACUGUGUCAAAACAGAAGGGAGCUAUAAGUCUGCCCCUCCCCCUGCCAGGUGACAAAGACAGAAGGGAGCUAUGAGUCUGUCCCUCCACCUGCAUAAGACACAGUGGCACAGACAGAAGGCAGUUAUGAGUCUGCGCCUCCCCCUGCCAGGUGACACAGUGACACAGACAGAAGGGAGCUAUGAGUCUGUCACUCCCCUGCAGGGUAACACAGUAACACAGACUGAAGGGAGCUACAAGUUUGUCCCUCCCCUUGCAGGGUGACACAGUGACACAGACAGAAGGGAGCUAUGAGUCUGUCCCUCCCCCUGCCAGGUGACACAGUGACACAGACAGAAGGGAGUUAUGAGUGUCCCUCUCCUUGCAGGGUAACACAGACAGAAGGGAGCUAUGCAUCUGUCCCUCCCUCUGCAGUGUGUCACUGUGUCAAAACAGAAGGGAGCUAUAAGUCUGCCCCUCCCCCUGCCAGGUGACAAAGACAGAAGGGAGCUAUGAGUCUGUCCCUCCACCUGCAUAAGACACAGUGGCACAGACAGAAGGCAGUUAUGAGUCUGCGCCUCCCCCUGCCAGGUGACACAGUGACACAGACAGAAGGGAGCUAUGAGUCUGUCACUCCCCUGCAGGGUAACACAGUAACACAGACUGAAGGGAGCUACAAGUUUGUCCCUCCCCUUGCAGGGUGACACAGUGACACAGACAGAAGGGAGCUAUGAGUCUGUCCCUCCCCCUGCCAGGUGACACAGUGACACAGACAGAAGGGAGCUAUGAGUCUGUCCCUCCCCUUGCAGGGUCACACAGUGACACAGACAGAAGUGAUCUAUGAGUCUGUCCCUCCCCCUGCAGGUUGACACAGUGACACAGACAGAAGGGAGCUAUGAGUCUGUCCCUCCCCCUGCAGGUUGACACAGUGACACAGACAGAAGGGAGCUAUGAGUCUGUCCCUCCCCCUGCAGGUUGACACAGUGACACAGACAGAAGGGAGCUAUGAGUCUGUCCCUCCCUGUGCAGGGUGACACAGUGACACAGACAGAAGUGAUCUAUGAGUCAGUCCCUCCCCCUGCAGGUUGACACAGUGACACAGACAGAAGGGAGCUAUGAGUCUGUCCCUCCCCCUGCAGGGUGACACAGUGACACAGACAGAAGUGAUCUAUGAGUCUGUCCCUCCUCCUGCAGGUUGACACAGUGACACAGACAGAAGGGAGCUAUGAGUCUGUCCCUCCCCCUGCAGGUUGACACAGUGACACAGACAGAAGGGAGCUAUGAGUCUGCCCCUCCCUCUGCCAGGUGACACAGUGACACAGACAGAAGGGAGCUAUGAGUCUGCCCCUCCCUCUGCCAGGUGACACAGUGACACAGACAGAAGGGAGUUAUGAGUGUCCCUCUCCUUGCAGGGUAACACAGACAGAAGGGAGCUAUGCAUCUGUCCCUCCCUCUGCAGUGUGUCACUGUGUCAAAACAGAAGGGAGCUAUACGUCUGCCCCUCCCCCUGCCAGGUGACACAGACAGAAGGGAGCUAUGAGUCUGUCCCUCCCCCUGCAGGGUGACACAGUGACACAGACAGAAGUGAUCUAUGAGUCUGUCCCUCCCCCUGCAGGUUGACACAGUGACACAGACAGAAGGGAGCUAUGAGUCUGUCCCUCCCCCUGCAGGUUGACACAGUGACACAGACAGAAGGCAGCUAUGAGUCUGCGCCUCCCCCUGCCAGGUGACACAGAUAGAAGGGAGUGAUGAGUCUGUAAAACACAAGCGGAAAGCGGGUCACAGGUGGAAAAACAAAAGCAUCUUUAUUGCUGGUCAAACACGGAAGGUAAAAUACAAAAUAAUAAAACCAACUACAUGUAGAGAAAAACGGUCAGACGCGUUUCGGCUCACGCCUUCAUCUAUGAGUCUGUCCUUCACCCUGCAAGGUGACACAGUGACACAAAUAGAGGGGAGCUAUGAGUCUGUCAGUCCCCCUGCAGGUGACACAGUGACACAGACAGAAGGGAGCUAUGAGUCUGCCCCUCCCCCUGCCAAGUGACACAGUGACACAGACAGAAGGCAGCUAUGAGUCUCUCCCUCCCCCUGCAGGGUGACACUGACACAGACAGAAGGGAGCUAUAAGUCUGUCCCUCCCCCUGCAGAGUGAUACAGUGACACAGACAGAAGGAAGCUAUGAGUCUGUCCCUCCUUCUGCAGGGUGACACAGUGACACAGACAGAAGGGAGCUAUAAGUCUGUCCCUCCCCCUGCAGGGUGACACAGUGACACAGACAGAAGGGAGCUAUAAGUCUGUCCCUCCCCCUGCAGAGUGAUAAAGUGACAUAGACAGAAGAAAGCUAUGAAUCUGCCGCUCCCCCUGCAGGUGACACAGUGACACAGACAGAAGGGAGCUAUGAGUCUUCCCCUCCCCCUGCAGGGUGACACAGACAGAAGGGAGCUAUAAGUCUGUCCCUCCCCCUGCAAAGUGAUACAGUGACUUAGACAGAAGGGAGCUAUAAGUCUGUCCCUCCCCCUGUAGGUGACACAGACAGAAAGAAGCUAUGAGUCUUUACCUCCCCCUGCAGAGUGACACAGACAGAAGGGAGCUACUAUGAGUCUGUCUCUCCUCCUGCAGGGUGACACAGUGACACAGACAGAAGGGAGCUAUGAGUCUUUCCCUCCCCCUGCAGGAUGACAGUGACACAGACAGAAGGGAGUUAUGAGUCUGUCCCUCCCCCUACAGGGUGACACAGUGACACAGACAGAAGGAGCUAUGAGUCUGUCCCUCCCCCUGCAGGGUGAUACAGUGACACAGACAUAAUUGAGCUAUGAGUCAGUCUCUCACCUGCAGGGUGACACUGACAGAAGGCAGCUGUGAGUCUGUCCCUCCCCCUGCAGGGUGACACAGUGACACAGACAGAAGGGAGCUAUAAGUCUGUCCCUCCCCCUGCAGAGUGAUACAGUGACAUAGACAGAAGGAAGCUAUGAGUCUGAUCCUCCCCCUGCAGGGUGACACAGUGACACAGACAGAAGGAAGCUAUGAGUCUGUCCCUCCCCCUGCAGUUGACAAAGUGACCUAGACAGAAGAAAGCUAUGAGUCUGCCCCUCACCCUGCAGGUGACACAGUGACACAGACAGAAGGGAGCUAUGAGUCUUCCCCUCCCCCUGCAGGGUGACACAGUGACACAGACAGAAGAAAGCUAUAAGUCUGUCCCUCCCCCUGCAAAGUGAUACAGUGACUUAGACAGACGGGAGCUAUAAGUCUGUCCCUCCCCCUGCAGGUGACACAGACAGAAAGAAGCUAUGAGUCUUUACCUCCCCCUGCAGGGUGACACAGUGACACAGACAGAAGGGAGCUAUAAGUCUGUCCCUCCCCCUGCAGGGUGACACAGUGACACAGACAGAAGGGAGCUAUAAGUCUGUCCCUCCCCCUGCAGGUGACACAGUGACACAGACAGAAGAGAGCUAUGAAUCUUCCCCUCCCCCUGCAGGGUGACACAGUGACACAGACAGAAGGGAGCUAUAAGUCUGUCCCUCACCCUGCGAAGUGAUACAGUGACUUAGACAGACGGGAGCUAUAAGUCUGUCCCUCCCCCUGCAGGUGACACAGACAGAAAGAAGCUAUGAGUCUUUACCUCCCCCUGCAGGGUGACAAAGACAGAAGGGAGCUAUAAGUCUGCCCCUCCUCCUGCAGGGUGACACUGUGACACAGACAGAAGGGAGCUAUGAGUCUUUCCCUCCCCCUGCAGGGUGACAGUGACACAGACAGAAGGGAGCUAUGAGUCUGUCUCUCCCCUGCAAGGUGACACAGUGACACAGACAGAAGGGAGCUAUGAGUCUGCUCCUUCCCUGCAGGGUGACACAGUGAAAAGACAGAAUGAAGCUAUGAGUCUGCCCCUCCCCCUGCAGGGUGACAUAGUGACACAGACAGAAGGGAGCUAUGAGUCUGCCCCUCCCCCUGCAGGGUGACAUAGUGACACAGACAGAAGGGAUUUCUUAGUCUUCUCUCCCCCCUCCCCCCGCAGGGUGACAGUGACAGAAGGGAGCACUAAGUCUUUCUUGUUGUGUAUUACAAGGCAGAUAGAUUACAUUUAAUAAAAAUGCAUCUCUUGAACGGAAUUAAUAAAACAGUAACCAACACAUGAAUCCUUUAUCUCGGUACAGACAGUGCAUCUACUAUACCUGGAUAUGCAAUUGCCCUUCUGGUCCUGGCAGCUGUUGCUCUCCUGGCUAUUUUUCUAUGCUUCGGCUUCAUGAUUGCGUUCCGUCGGAGUUAGCGGUCAGGCCGCUGAAGCAAAUGGAUCCUUUAAUCGUUCUUGUUGAAGCAUCAGUCUGAGAUAGUAAAAGUCUCCUAUUCUUUAGAAGAUCCAAUAAAAAUGCUUGAUCUGGUGUCUAUGAAGAAUAUUUUGUCAUCUUCAACAAACAUAAAUGUAUUUUUCUUUAACUCAUUAAAUCCUCUGGUUCUGCUACUGAAAUCUGUGACAAGGAAGUUUUAAAACUAAAAUUGCAUGCUCUGUUUUUUAGGCCGUUUAAAGUGAAUGUAAAUUUUGAUGUUUAAGUGCCCGGUUUUUAAAACU